rnacentral:misc_RNA from 1 species
GAUGAAGAACGCAGCGAAAUGCGAUAACUAAUGUGAAUUGCAGAAUUCAGUGAAUCAUCGAGUGUUUGAACGCACAUUGCGCCCCCUGGUAUUCCGGGGGGCAUGCCUGUCCGAGCGUCAUUGCUGCCCUCAAGCACGGCUUGUGUGUUGGGCUCCGUCCCCCCGGGGACGGGUCCGAAAGGCAGCGGCGGCACCGAGUCCGGUCCUCGAGCGUAUGGGGCUUUGUCACCCGCUCUGUAGGCCCGGCCGGCGCCAGCCGACAACCAAUCAUCCUUUUUUCAGGUUGACCUCGGAUCAGGUAGGGAUACCCGCUGAACUUAAGCAUAUCAAUAAGCGGAGGA